rnacentral:lncRNA from 1 species
UUCAUUCAGUGAUUGAUCUUCAAGCUUUAUUUGCUUUACUGUAUGCACUCACACAGCACACACAUGGUUGGGUGGUAUUUUGCUAAAUCAUAUAUCUCUGAAUGCUAUGAGAUGAUUGUUUUCAUUCAGUGAUUGAUCUUCAAGCUUUAUUUGCUUUACUGUAUGCACUCACACAGCACACACAUGGUUGGGUGGUAUUUUGCUAAAUCAUAUAUCUCUGAUCUGUAUGAGAAAAUCAAAUGCUGAAUGUUGGAAUAUUGCCGCCGGAUUAUUAUAUGUCUCGAUGAAGCCGGGAUCAAGAGAUAAAGUGUU